rnacentral:rRNA from 1 species
GAUGAACGCUGGCGGCGUGCCUAAUACAUGCAAGUCGAGCGAAUGGAUUAAGAGCUUGCUCUUAUGAAGUUAGCGGCGGACGGGUGAGUAACACGUGGGUAACCUGCCCAUAAGACUGGGAUAACUCCGGGAAACCGGGGCUAAUACCGGAUAACAUUUUGAACCGCAUGGUUCGAAAUUGAAAGGCGGCUUCGGCUGUCACUUAUGGAUGGACCCGCGUCGCAUUAGCUAGUUGGUGAGGUAACGGCUCACCAAGGCAACGAUGCGUAGCCGACCCGAGAGGGUGACCGGCACCACUGGGACUGAUACACGGCCCAGACUCCUACGGGAGGCAGCAGUAGGGAAUCUUCCGCAAUGGACGAAAGUCUGACGGAGCAACGCCGCGUGAGUGAUGAAGGCUUUCGGGUCGUAAAACUCUGUUGUUAGGGAAGAACAAGUGCUAGUUGAAUAAGCUGGCACCUUGACGGUACCUAACCAGAAAGCCACGGCUAACUACGUGCCAGCCGCCGCAGUAA